rnacentral:rRNA from 1 species
CGCACCUUGCACCUUCCAGUCCUCUGGAAGGUAUGCCCGGUUGAGUAUUAUGAUCACCUCAAACCUAUGAUUUUCUUAUUGCAAAGACCAAUGCUCCGAUAGAAAGCACUCGUUUGGGGUGCUAGUAGGUGCUGCUUGGGUUUGGAAGAUCUUAGGUCUUGGACUUGAGCACUGUUCGGUUCCCUCUCUGGAUCAACUGGCUUAGAAAUGUAUUAGCUGGCGACCUGCCUUCAAUGGUUACCACUCGGCGUAGUAAGUUUUAUUCGUCGAGGACACCUUGUACCUUCAUCGGAACAGGUGGCCAUUGUGCUGUGUCUUGAUAGCCGCUUCUAAUCGUCUCCGGACAAUAUAACGAACUCUUUAAUCUCAACUCGGGUAGGACUACCCGCUGAACUUAA